rnacentral:rRNA from 1 species
CCUACGGGAGGCAGCAGUGGGGAAUAUUGCACAAUGGGCGCAAGCCUGAUGCAGCCAUGCCGCGUGUAUGAAGAAGGCCUUCGGGUUGUAAAGUACUUACAGCGGGGAGGAAGGCGAUAAGGUUAAUAACCUUGUCGAUUGACGUUACCCGCAGAAGAAGCACCGGCUAACUCCGUGCCAGCAGUCGCGGUAAUACGGAGGGUGCAAGCGUUAAUCGGAAUUACUGGGCGUAAAGCGCACGCAGGCGGUCUGUCAAGUCGGAUGUGAAAUCCCCGGGCUCAACCUGGGAACUGCAUUCGAAACUGGCAGGCUAGAGUCUUGUAGAGGGGGGUGGAAUUCCAGGUGUAGCGGUGAAACGCGUAGAGAUCUGGAGGAAUACCGGUGGCGAAGGCGGCCCCCUGGACAAAGACUGACGCUCAGGUGCGAAAGCGUGGGGAGCAAACAGGAUUAGAUACCCCUGUAGUC